UUUGUGAUUUGUGAACAAAUGACCCUAGCUGGAAAGACUUUUCUCCGUCCGCCAACGACAGGAAACAGCAAAACAUUUUGUGGCAGCUGGAGAAAUUCCAAUCCAAACAAUGCGGCUUUGUCAGAAGUCAAAGCUUCUCUCUCGCCUGUGACUACUGCCGAUCACCACUAUAUUCUGUACGGCCAGAUUCUACACCAUCUCCACCGCCGCGCCACCACAAAACGCCACUGUAAGUGGUGUUUGUGAGCACUGUACUGGUGGAUCCGCAUUCACUAUCUUUGAGGGAUACUGUUGAUCUGUCAAGUUUAGUUGACCAUGGAUAUUGGUAAUUCUGAGCUGUAGCCCCGACAUGUGAAGAUGAUCGCUGCAUUCGCAUGGCCCUUGGAAUAUUCCUUCCUUCAACUGAUGCCCUCCUUCUGCUUGGUUGCCUCUCAAACGAGUCUGGCCUUUGUUUUGGCGCACUAUGUGACCGAACUUUUGCUCUGGAAGAUUCUGUGUUUGCCAUGUAAUUUGGAAAUAAUGGGUAGUCAUA